ACACUAUCGCUGUUGGAAUCACAUCACCGAAAACGCUACCUUAUAGUAAUUAUCUAUUUUCAUAGUUUUAAUUUACAAUAAGUACAGGAUGUACAACAUACGACGAGCAGCACAACGAUCAACAUUGGAGCUGUGAAGACCAGUCAGCACUUAGCAAACUACGACAAGUUGGAUUGGUAGCUUGAUCGAUUGCAGUCUUAUUUUUUCUGUAAUUUUUUUUGAUAACGACAAAUCACUCUUUUUCUGUCUCUAACAAGUUUGAAAAAGAUUUUAAGAAACUGAAGAUGUUUCUGAAGGAUUCGAAAUCGAUUAGUGAGAACAUGAAAGAAAAAAAUGUGCAUGGACGUUCAGGUAACAUCACAAGAAAUCCAAGUAAAGCGAUGUCUUGUAUACGAAACCCAAUCACCAUCAAGAAUUCCAAAGUGACAAUGUGUGUGCUUCUCGUGUUGCUGAACUUUGCUAUACAGGACGUGCAGGCGGUACCAUGCAGAGGUGGAUGUCAAAACAAUGGUAUGAUGAUUAUGCCCACCUCCCUGUUUGGGUACUGCCGGUGUGUAUGUAUAGGGCCAUAUGCAGGACCCACAUGCGAAUUUAAAACCAAACGACGGGUCAAAAUACGAAAACUCAUCAAGAUUAAGGGCACACUAAAGGAACUGAUACAACGACGAAUGGAACAGAAAGAAUGAAAAUCUAUAAGCUGUCCAGAUAAAAGACCUUUAGGGACUGCUGCGACCCAACAUUCCAGACCCCCGCUACGGUAGCCUCUCCAGUGCUAGGUCCGAGGCGUGAUUACUCAAAGUCCAUGAUGAAUAACCGCUGGACAGGCACAUCAGUCGAGAGUACCUGACUCCUUCCUGGGGUACAGACACACGGAACCUCCCUCGUACACUUCCCUUUUCUGGGGAAUGGAACUGUUGUCUUCUCUUUGUGAAUUAGCAACUCCUGUGUUCUAUAAAAUGGACCUGUCUCUUGAUGGUGAACCAACUCCCGCGUUACAUCAUCCCGAACGGACUGCUAGUGAACUAACUUACUGAUUCUGUUAAUUGGAACUCACACUUCUUAAACAACCUUACCCGUUCUAUCAACCGGAAUGACGUCUGUUAGUGAACGAACUAUCUUUCUCCUUUGGGAUAAAAUUGUAUAUCUACUCUUGAACAGAAAACAUCCCUUUCCAGCGGGUACAAAUGCUUUUCGGCUGAAAAGGCUAUGUUUGCAUUGAAUUAAUAUGUAAUUUUGUUCCACAAAAUAGCGAUUUCUAUACACCUUACUCAGCAACUCUAAAAAUAUAAUCUUGCCUUCAACAAGUGGACCAGUGACGAUCCUCUUAAAAGAGUAAACAUGUUUCUGAGCAAAUAUUCCUUUACAGGAGUCUGUCUCUGCCUAACAACCACUCAGCCAGCUUUAGCCUUAGGUAGUGACGUGUUUUCAAUGCAAAGUUGUUUCAUGUUUUUUUUACAAAUUUUAUUUUUGUUAAUUUAUUGAACGUUUUCAUGUUAUGUGGUGUUAUGCAAAUUCAUUGUACCUUAAGUAUGAGAAUGACAUAAAUCAUUAAAGUGAAUGAACGCAUAA